rnacentral:rRNA from 1 species
UUACAAAAACAUAGUUUAAGGAAAUAAUCUUAAAUGAAUUCUGCCCAGUGAUUUUUUUUUAAAUGGCCGCAGUACCUUGACUGUGCUAAGGUAGCAUAAUCAAUUGGCUUCUAAUUAAAGUCUGGAAUGAAAGGAAAUAUGAAGUAAUUCUAUCUUAAAGGAUUUUUUUUGAAUUUAUUUAAAUGAUGAAAAUAUCAUUUUAUAGAAAAAAGACGAGAAGACCCUUAGAGUUUUGAUAUUUAUAUAUUUUUGUUGGGGCGACAGGUAAACAUAUAACUUUACGAAUUAUCAUUGAUCGAUUUUUUAUAAGAAUAAUAAAACUACCUUAGGGAUAACAGCAUUAUAUUUUUUUUUAUGAUUGUGACCUCGAUGUUGGACUAGGAACUUUAUGGCUAGCCGUCAAAAAAGAUUGUCUUUCGUUUAAAAUCCGG